rnacentral:piRNA from 1 species
UAAGUUGUGCUUGACUCCCUCAAUGGGUAUU